GAUGAACGCUGGCGGCGUGCUUAACACAUGCAAGUCGAACGAAGCAUUUGCGACAGAUUUUUUCGGAAUGAAGUUGCUUAUGACUGAGUGGCGGACGGGUGAGUAACGCGUGGGUAACCUGCCUUGUACUGGGGGAUAGCAGCUGGAAACGGCUGGUUAUACCGCAUAAGCGCACAAUGUUGCAUGACAUGGUGUGAAAAUCUCCGGUGGUAUAAGAUGGACUCGCGUCUGAUUAGCUAGUUGGUGAGAUAACAGCCCCCCAAGGCGACGAUCAGUAGCCGACCUGGGAGGGUGACCGGCCACAUUGGGACUGAGACACGGCCCAGACUCCUACGGGAGGCAGCAGUUGUGAAUAUUGCACAAUGGAGGAAACUCUGAUGCAGCCACGCCGCGUAAGUGAAGAAGUAAUUCGUUAUGUAUGGCUCUAUCAGCAGGGAAGAUAGUGACGGUACCUGACUAAGAAGCUCCGGCUAAAUACGUG
rnacentral:rRNA from 1 species